rnacentral:lncRNA from 1 species
UCCUCUGCCAUCAUCGACUUCACAUCUCUGCCACAUUACCUAUUUAACACCUCCUUCAAAUCCAUACCACCAUUACCGUCUCUACCACCAUGCUCAACCAUCAUCGAUCUAUCAUUAAUGAAUGAAAUAAAUUAACUAAAUAUAAUACUCUUUUAGCUUUAUAGUCUAAAUGAAGUCCAUUGCAAAUUCUAGUUUUUCUGAAAGAAGAAAAAUAACCUCACAGUCAAAUCCCAUCUUUGCACCACCAGAUGAGCCUCUUUUGCUUCAUUGUCGCACCACCGUCAUUAAUGGUACUGCUCGAUCCUUAUCACCAUUUACAAACUCCUCACCACCAAAUUUAGUUUUCUCUUUAACUAUCUAA